rnacentral:rRNA from 1 species
CCUGCUUUCAGUUGCUACCGGGUCAUGCCGAGUACUCUGAAAGGACUGCCCAGGAUAACGGGGAGGAAGGUGGGGAUGACGUCAAGUCAGCAUGGCCUUUAUGCCUGGGGCCACACACGUGCUACAAUGGCCGGUACAAAGCGCUGCAAAC